rnacentral:misc_RNA from 1 species
UUUCCUGCUUUUCGCGUCUUGGCUGGAGAAUUCUAGUGCUAUUCCUUCCUCUUCUCUCUAGACUUUACGAAACCCUCCUCUUCCUAGUGCUUGCUGAAAGUAUUUAUGCAAUUUGCCAAUCGAUGAAGAAUUGACUUGGUGGUGUGUGAAGUCUAUCAAUUUGAAUAUCUGAGCAUGGAUAAAGUAUCACCAGACUGUCCAUACCCAGGAUGCUUUUUCUGUGUCAUGAAGGAAGGAAAUCCAAGCAAGCGCAGAGCAAGUAUAUUGAAAUUUUUCAGGGAACUUCCUUCACAGGAAGAUGAUGGCCAGGUUCUCCCAAUCAGUGGUCUUUGGAACACUGCCAUGGCACAUCCCAAUGAUCCUGAGUUCAUUGAGUUGGGAAUAUUUGAAUGCAUGGCUGCACUUAUAUGGAAGGGUUUAAAGAAUCGCAGGUGGCUUUCUCUCGAUCAGAACAUCUACAUUCCUUAUUAUGCUGCUCAUAUCAUUGGAUCCUACACCAUGAAUAUGGAAGAAUUUGCGGAAAGUGCUGUCCACGCUGGUGUAAUUCCUCCCCUGGUUGAGCUUUUGAGGGGGAGAUUGACAUGGGUUGAACAGAGAGUGGCAGUACGAGCUCUAGGACACUUGGCUACAUAUGCCAGCACUUUUCCUUCUGUAGCAAGUCAUGGUGAAAUACUUGAGCUUUCCAUUCAACUUGCAAUGAGUUCACUAGAAAUUGUUUACUCUCAUUUUUACCAGUAUGUUGAUAGAAGGCUAAGUUAUCAUUGUGAUUUGCUUACUCGUGGCAUGGGAGGUGUUGAAAUGGAGUCCAGGAAAGCCGAGGAAUGGGCUAGUCAGUUGCAAUGCUGGUCACUUCAGCUUAUUAAUUGUUUUGCUUUCAAGCCUGAGUUUAUUCCUACCAUUUGCAAGCCUGAAUUCUUAGUAAAACUGCCAGGCAUGUGGGGUGGACUUGUUAAUGAGAAUUCACCUGCUGGUAUUGGUUUAUUGAGAACAAUUUGUCAUCAUAAGCUUGGUAGGGGACCUGUUGCUAGCUGUCCUGGUAUAAUUGAGGCAUUGUGCAACAUUGCUAGCUCGUCAGAUGAUUGGCAGUAUAUGGCUAUAGAUUGUCUUCUUUGGUUGCUUCAAGAUCCAAAUACUUGCCAUAAGGUGAUCGAUAAGGCUGUUCCUGCCCUGAUAGACCUUGCAGAGAUCAAAGCUCUGGGUGAUCAAAAAAAGCUUGGUGAUUCCAUUGUUAAUGUUCUUCAGGAUUGUAUUCAAUCACAAGGGACAGGGCGUAACUCUGUCAGUAACCACACAAAAGAACUGAUUGGGGAAUUGUUAAACUCAAAACAAAGAAUGAAAUGGGAAAAGAAUAUGCCAAAGGAAGAUCUACAUAUCAAGCAGGCAGCAGCAUUAGUGGUCAAGCUUGAAGGAAAUUCCUUGUUCUCAUCAGGAAAUAUAUCUGGAGCUGCAUCAAAGUACUCUGAAGCAUUGUCAUUGUGUCCAAUGAGAUCCAAAAAAGAGAGAGUUGUUCUAUACAGUAAUCGAGCUCAGUGUCAUCUUCUGUUACAACAACCCUCGGCUGCUAUAAGUGAUGCUACACACGCACUUUGUCUUCACAACCCUCUUAAUCGUCAUGCAAAAAGCCUUUGGAGAAGAGCUCAGGCUUAUGACAUGCUGGGAUUAGCUAAAGAGAGCUUGUUAGAUGCCAUUCUGUUCAUUAAUGAAUGCUCUCAAUCAAAUGACCCUGAUCUAUGUUUGAGGCACAAUAAAGUUCCUGACUAUGCGGAGCGCCUAGUCAAGAAGCAGAUGCGUGCUGCCUGGUUAUUUAGAGAGGCAGGUAUCAAACAUGGGGGUGUCCACUAUGAAGGAGAUGCUGGCGAUGUUUAUGGCCAAGACAGUGAUGAUUCAGAAUGGGAAACAGCAAGCGAAAGUGAUAUGGGAAAUGAUGGAAGAGAUGAAAUGGGUGAUGAUGAUGAUGAUAGUGAAUGGAAGAAUGAGGAUGAGAGUAAAGAUAAAUGUGAUAAGGCAUAAUUAAAAGCUUGCGGAAAUGAAUCUUGAAUUUGGAAGGGAUGACAUAAAGAUGCCAUGAAGAGAUAUCUUGAAACUCAUCAGUGCAUUUGAGUUUGAAAUGGUCUACAGAAUCUAGCUUGGUUUCAUGAGAAGCAGGUUCGAUAGAAAUGUGUAAUUGGUCAUUAUGUUUAGCAGGUAACAACUGUUCUAUAGAUUCUAUUAUUUCUUUAAUUUCUGUUCCACAAUUCUUGUUUAUUUCAACUGUAGAAAAUGGAAGAAAAGGUUUUGAGUGUAGAGAACAAACGUAACCUAGAGGAUGGGAGAGCUAUUUUUGAGUGAUUUAAAGAAAGCUUGUGUAUAUAAAACCCUUUUGGGUCUUUAAAGUAUUAAUACUCUGUACUCGGAUGAUUACAGUAGUCUUCAUCAAGGGUUCAUCAUUUGUGAUAUAUUUGACAAAUUUAGGCAUAAAGAAUCAGAUUCCAUGAAUGUUAACAGGUCAACAUUUUGAAGCCCUUUAGGGGUUGGUCUCUCUGCUGAUAUACAAUGGUAUGAAACCUUCCAUUCUCAACCUCAACUAGCAUACUCUAUUGCUUGUGUGAGUCACUUCCACAUUGUAAUAUGCUGCACCCUAUUUUCAAACAGCUUUUUAUAUUUCAACCUGGAUGUUCCACUCUUACCCAUGUUGAUGGAAUUACAGGUUUAUAUGUAUUUUUACAUGGCUAAAUGUUUAAUUUUACUCCCAUACUUAAUGGGAUGUUCAUUUUAGCUCAUUCUUUAAUGUGCGUUGAGGUUUGAAAUGUGAAAUGUCUUAUGAAAUAGACAUUUCAUUGUUAACAACAUUUUUU